AAACGUCAUCCGCCUGGGGAGUACGGUCGCAAGAUUAAAACUCAAAGGAAUUGACGGGGACCCGCACAAGCGGUGGAUGAUGUGGAUUAAUUCGAUGCAACGCGAAAAACCUUACCUACCCUUGACAUGUACCGAAGCCCGCUGAGAGGUGGGUGUGCCCGAAAGGGAGCGGUAACACAGGUGCUGCAUGGCUGUCGUCAGCUCGUGUCGUGAGAUGUUGGGUUAAGUCCCGCAACGAGCGCAACCCUUGUCAUUAGUUGCUACAUUUAAGUUGGGCACUCUAAUGAGACUGCCGGUGACAAACCGGAGGAAGGUGGGGAUGACGUCGAAUACGUAAC
rnacentral:misc_RNA from 1 species